rnacentral:rRNA from 1 species
CUCCAGACUCCUACGGGAGGCAGCAGUGAGGAAUAUUGGUCAAUGGUCGGGAGACUGAACCAGCCAAGCCGCGUGAGGGAUGAAGGUACAGAGUAUCGUAAACCUCUUUUGUCAGGGAACAAAGGCGGGGACGUGUCCCCGGAUGAGUGUACCUGAAGAAAAAGCAUCGGCUAACUCCGUGCCAGCAGCCGCGGUAAUACGGAGGAUGCGAGCGUUAUCCGGAUUUAUUGGGUUUAAAGGGUGCGCAGGCGGUCUGUUAAGUCAGCGGUAAAAGCCCGGGGCUCAACCCCGGCCCGCCCCCGAUACCGGCAGGCUUGAGUCUGGUAGGGGAAGGCGGAAUUCCCAGUGUAGCGGUGGAAUGCGCAGAUAUUGGGAAGAACACCGGCGGCGAAGGCGGCCUUCUGGGCCACGACUGACGCUGAGGCGCGAAAGCUAGGGGAGCGAACAGGAUUAGAUACCCGAGUAU